CAGAUUGAACGCUGGCGGCAGGCUUAACACAUGCAAGUCGAGCGGGGAUAGGGUGCUUGCACCUGAUUCCUAGCGGCGGACGGGUGAGUAAUGCUUAGGAAUCUGCCUAUUAGUGGGGGACAACGUUCCGAAAGGGACGCUAAUACCGCAUACGUCCUACGGGAGAAAGCAGGGGAUCUUCGGACCUUGCGCUAAUAGAUGAGCCUAAGUCGGAUUAGCUAGUUGGUGGGGUAAAGGCCUACCAAGGCGACGAUCUGUAGCGGGUCUGAGAGGAUGAUCCGCCACACUGGGACUGAGACACGGCCCAGACUCCUACGGGAGGCAGCAGUGGGGAAUAUUGGACAAUGGGGGCAACCCUGAUCCAGCCAUGCCGCGUGUGUGAAGAAGGCCUUUUGGUUGUAAAGCACUUUAAGCGAGGAGGAGGCUUACCUGGUUAAUACCCGGGAUAAGUGGACGUUACUCGCAGAAUAAGCACCGGCUAACUCUGUGCCAGCCGCAGC
rnacentral:rRNA from 1 species